UUAUUUAAUAGAAACACCGCAAUUUCAUUUUUUUUCCCGAUAUCAGAAUAUAGAAAAAGAUUUACGCAUAUUUGUGAUGGAAACACGGCUAGUAACUCGUGUCUCACUUGAGGUGGGUUGCUAAUUGAACAUACCGGAUUUCAAUGAGGCAACUUCAAAUGUUGGCGACUGCCUUACGCCAAUUUGGUUGAUUUGAAACAGGUGCGUUGAAUCAGAAUCCUCUCGGCUAAAACAUGAAGCGACAGUGACCCCAAACAACUGAAACUGCUCCAGGUGGGUGCCUGAAACCAGAAGCACUCUGUUGCCUCAGAAAGUUAGCUGACUCGACAAGUUUGGACCUCUGCUGCUGGGAGGUGUACUGAACCAAACAUUAUGGCUGCUUUUCCUGAUAUACAUGUAGUAAGUGCUGUACAUAGUCUAGUAAAAUAUGCCUGCCCCGUCCAUGCUGUGAUUGUACAGUCACUUUUACUGCAAAAUGUGCCUUUUGGAAAGUUUUCAUAAGCCUUGAACUUUCUCAUUCCGUUACAAAGACAGACUUGGAUUUACCAGUGGGGUUGUGUGGUAGACCAGCAGAAAAUCUAUACUAACCAGAUUUAAAUUAGAGUUGUCGGACAAGAAAGCGGAUUGUGAAGGAGGUGGAAAACAUGUGGCAAAGGUCUUCAGAGCAGGACUUGAACCCGUGAUGGCCGGGCAGAGGACUGAGGCCUCCGUAUGGGAGCUUCUCCACCGUGCUCAGAAAUCAA